rnacentral:rRNA from 1 species
UACGUAGGUGGCAAGCGUUAUCCGGAUUUAUUGGGCGUAAAGAGAACGCAGGCGGUCUUUUAAGUCUGAUGUGAAAGCCUUCGGCUUAACCGGAGUAGUGCAUUGGAAACUGGGAGACUUGAGUGCAGAAGAGGAGAGUGGAACUCCAUGUGUAGCGGUGAAAUGCGUAGAUAUAUGGAAGAACACCAGUGGCGAAAGCGGCUCUCUGGUCUGUAACUGACGCUGUGGUUCGAAAGCGUGGGUAGCAAACAGG